GAGUCCCGGCCGCACCCGGCGCCGCUCACCUGCUUCUGGAUGUCCCGCACGCGCUGCUCGUGCAGGCGCGGAGCGCUGCUGAGCUUGAACACCACCCAGGCGCGCACGUAGUAGUAGAUAUCGAAGAUAAGCGAGAGCGGCAGGAGGAAGAGGCACACGAACACCCAGCGCUGGUGGAUGAGCACGAACUCCAGCCCCUUCAGGCGCACCCACAGCAGGAAGAGCAGCGCGCACACGGCCAGCGACACGGCGGGCUCCAUGGUGCGGCGCCGCGCGGGGGCACUUUCCACGAAUUCAUUUGAGCUACACAGCAGUCCUGGGCAGUGGGGAGUGGUGAGCUCCAUUGUGUACACUUGGAAGCAGCCCAGAAAGGUGAAGACCUGUUCGUGAACUCCAGAGGCCAUUGGAAGCAUGGAAGGCUAUGGCUGGCACUCUUCCUCUUUUUCCAGUUCACUGAGGCAGAUGGGAGGCCCGGAGGAGAAAGAAUGAAGGAAGGCAUUUCAGCCCGAGUAAACUCCCCAGGCCCGCUCUGUGCCAGGCAGUGUUGCAAGCCUCGGGUAGGGUGGUGAGCAAAGCAGAUGGCCCUGCCCUCACUCAGCAACCAGUGUAGGGGAGCUGCCACGGUUACCAGCAAAAGCUGAAAUCCAGCGCCAUUUGCAUUUCAUAUGGAAUUUUAGGAAGUUUUCGAGAUGUUUUAGUUUAGAAGCUAAACAUGACAUACCAGGUUCUUCUCUGUCUGGCCUUGCAUACCUAUCCAGUUCCCUCUCCAUUCAUCUCUGCCCUGACAUGCACUCAGGAGGCUCCCUGGGCCUCAGCAUUCCUCAUUUGCGCGCCUCUGGUCAAGCUAGUACCUCUGAAUGCCCUUUCCCAUCCCCUUCUCAGAGUUCACCUCACACAUUCCGAAGCCAGCUCAGGGCCACCUCUGAAACAUUUAGAGCACUCCCCUGCCCAUCCAGAUGCUCAUUAAAUAGUGUGCAUCUCUGUCA
ensembl:lncRNA DHCR24-DT DHCR24 divergent transcript